rnacentral:rRNA from 1 species
UGGGGAAUUUUGGACAAUGGGCGAAAGCCUGAUCCAGCAAUGCCGCGUGUGUGAAGAAGGCCUUCGGGUUGUAAAGCACUUUUGUCCGGAAAGAAAUCCUUGGCUCUAAUACAGUCGGGGGAUGACGGUACCGGAAGAAUAAGCACCGGCUAACUACGUGCCAGCAGCCGCGGUAAUACGUAGGGUGCAAGCGUUAAUCGGAAUUACUGGGCGUAAAGCGUGCGCAGGCGGUUUGCUAAGACCGAUGUGAAAUCCCCGGGCUCAACCUGGGAACUGCAUUGGUGACUGGCAGGCUAGAGUAUGGCAGAGGGGGGUAGAAUUCCACGUNUAGCAGUGAAAUGCGUAGAGAUGUGGAGGAAUACCGAUGGCGAAGGCAGCCCCCUGGGCAAUACUGACGCUCAUGCACGAAAGCGUGGGGAGCAAACAGGAUUAGAUACCCUGGUAGUCCACGCCCUAAACGAUGUCAACUAGUUGUUGGGGA